rnacentral:rRNA from 1 species
UGAAGUAAGUAAGGGCGUACGGUGAAUGCCUUGGUGCCAACAGGCGAAGAAGGACGCGGCAAGCUGCGAAAAGCCUCGGGAAGCUGCAAGCAAGCGAUGAUCCGGGGAUAUCCGAAUGGGGUAACCUGAUCGAGGCAAUACUCGAUCGUUCAUACCUGAAUACAUAGGGUAUGAAACGCGAAACCCGCUGAAGUGAAACAUCUCAGUAAGCGGAGGAAAAGAAAGAGAAAUCGAUUCCGUAAGUAGUGGCGAGCGAAAGCGGAUGGAGCCCAAACCGAAGGUAUUCCUUCGGGGUUGUAGGACCACGUCAUAUUCGACCAUACUGGAUAGUAGAACAGCCUGGAAAGGCUGGCCGGAGAAGGUGAAAGCCCUGUAGACGAAAUCCAGAGUGGGAAUUAGUGGUAUCCUGAGUAAUACAUCACACGUGGAACGAUGUAUGAACCCGCGCGGACCACCGCGCAAGGCUAAAUACUAGUUGGCGACCGAUAGUGAACAAGUACCGUGAGGGAAAGGUGAAAAGAACCGCUGUGAGCGGAGUGAAAUAGAACCUGAAACCGUAUGUCUACAAAGUGUCAGAGCAGAGCAAUCUGCGAUGGCGUGCCUUUUGUUUAAUGAGUCUGCGAGUCAGUGUUUGUGGCAAGACUAAGGGCUUCCGGCCCGGAGUCGCAGCGAAAGCAAGUCCGAACAGGGCGCAAUAAGUCGCAGGUACUGGACCCGAAGCGGAGGUGACCUACCCUUGGCCAGGUUGAAGCAUGGGUAAAACCAUGUGGAGGACCGAACAGGUGAACGUUGAAAAGUUCUCUGAUGAGCUGAGGGUAGGAGUGAAAGGCUAAUCAAACCCCGUGAUAGCUGGUUCUCUUCGAAAUGCAUUUAGGUGCAGCGUCACGUGCUGAUGCGCGGGGGUAGAGCACUGACAAGGCUAGGGGGCACACCCGCUUACCAAACCUUAUCAAACUCCGAAUACCGUGCAAUGGAACGUGGCAGUGAGACAGUGGGGGAUAAGCUUCAUUGUCGAGAGGGAAACAACCCAGACCAGCAGCUAAGGUGCCUAAAUAACGCUCAGUGGAAAGGAUGUGGGAUUACACAGACAGUGAGGAUGUUGGCUUAGAAGCAGCCACCAUUUAAAAAAUGCGUAAUAGCUUACUCAUCGAGUGAUCCUGCGCCGAAAAUGAUUGGCGAUCAAGCGUUAUACCGAAGCUCUGGACUUUGCCGCAAGGCAGAGUGGUAGAAGAGCGUUGCAUGCGCGUCGAAGGGCGAUGGCGACUGACCCUGGAGCACAUGCAAGUGAGUAUGCAGACAUGAGUAACGUUAAGCCGGGUGAAAUCCCCGGCCGCCGUAAACCCGAGGUUUCCAGGGCAACGUGUUUCGUCCCUGGGUUAGCCGGGACCUAAGCCGAGGCCGAGAGGCGUAGGCGAUGGACAUCAGGUUAAUAAUCCUGAGCUCGCAACCCUUAAACUGGGGGGACGCAUGAGAAAAGAUGACUAGGUUAUUGAAUUCCGAGUUGAGUCUACGGACUCAGCGCAUCAUUGGAUCGAGUGCCAAGAAAAGCCCCAGCGUAUGCUAAGCGACCCGUACCGCAAACCGACACAGGUGGGUGGGUAGAAUAUACCAAGGCGUAAGAGUGAAACCUGGUUAAGGAACUCGGCAAAUUAGCCCCGUAACUUCGGAAGAAGGGGUGCCUGCAGCGAUGCAGGCCGCAGAGAAAUGGCCCAACCGACUGUUUAUCAAAAACACAGCACUCUGCAAAGACGCAAGUCGAAGUAUAGGGUGUGACACGUGACCAAUGCCGAAAGAUUAAGGCAAGGGGUUAGCCGCAAGGCGAAGCUCUAAACCCAAGUCCCGGUGAAUGUCGGCCGUAACUAUAACGGUCCUAAGGUAGCGAAAUUCCUUGUCGGGUAAGUUCCGACCUGCACGAAUCGUGAAACGAGUUGGGCACUGUCUCAACCAGGCGCUCAGUGAAAUUGUAGUGGCGGUGAAGAUGCCGCCUACCCGCAGAAGGACGGAAAGACCCUAUAGACCUUAACUGUAAGCUGUCAUUGUUUCUUCGGUUUUAAUGCUCAGAGUAAGUGGGAGACGCUGAAGACGCCCUUUAGGGGGCGUCCGAGUCAUCAAUGAGACACCACCCUUUGAAACUGGAGGAUCUAACCCUGAGCCGUGAAUCCGGCCAGAGGACCGUGUCAGCCGGUCAGUUUUACUGGGGCGGUAUCCUCCCAAAGAGUAACGGAGGAGCGCGAAGGUGGGCUCAGCCCGGUUGGCAACCGGGUGUCGAGUGCAUGGGCAUAAGCCCGCCUAACUGUGAGACCAACAAGUCGAGCAGAUGCGAAAGCAGGCCCAAGUGAUCCGGCGGUAGAAAGUGGAAUUGCCGUCGCUCAACGGAUAAAAGGUACCUUAGGGAUAACAGGCUGAUCACGCCCAAGAGUUCAUAUCGACGGCGUGGUUUGGCACCUCGAUGUCGGCUCGUCGCAUCCUGGGGCUGGAGAAGGUCCCAAGGGUCCGGCUGUUCGCCGGUUAAAGCGGCACGCGAGCUGGGUUCAGAACGUCGCGAGACAGUUCGGUCCUCUAUCCUCUGUGGGCGUUGGAAAAUUGAGGGGUUCAGACCUUAGUACGAGAGGACCGGGUCUGACGCACCACUGGUGCAUCGGUUGUACUGUCAAGUGCAUGGCCGAGUAGCUAAGUGCGGACGGGAUAAGCGCUGAAAGCAUCUAAGCGCCAAGCCCUUCCCAAGAUGAGUUUUCCCUACAGGUUCGUGGAAGACCACCACGUUGAUAGGUCGCAGGUGUAAGUGCAGCAAUGUAUUGAGCCGAGCGAUACUAAUUACCAAUUGACUUCAUCAU